GUGCAUCCAACAGCAUGCAUACUAAACUUGGAAUGAUACAGAGAGAUUAGCAUGUCCCCUGCACAAGGAUGACAUGAAAAUUGAAGUGUUCCAUACAGCUUUU